rnacentral:tRNA from 1 species
GUCUGUAGCUCAGUGGCAGAGCACUUGCCUUGUAUGUGUGAGGCACUGGGUUCGAUCCUCAGCAUCACA